GGUCUGGAAUUUAAUUUAAUAUUGUUGUAAUGGUAGGAUAACUACAUAGUUUACACAAUAAUUACACUGUGUUAUAAAUAUUGUAUAUCAAUGCAUUUAUUGACUGUCAAUUACCCAAAAAUCGUGGCUCGUCUAUCAUUGAACAGUAGCCUAUUUAAUGCAUUCUAAUCCAUUGUCAAUCACUUCCGGGAACUAUUUGACGUUUACAUGAACCACGUGACCUUAACGAAUUUUGAACACCCAUUGUCGCAACUCUACCUUUAUAUGGCUCUGGUCUGUGCACGAAAGAAAGAAUACAUUUGGCUAAUCAGAGAACUCUCGGCUAAUGUGAAGAACUGAUACAUUUGGCUAAAGAAAGUAUCAGCUAGCGUGAAGAACCGAUCAAUGGCAGCGUUUCAUCCUCCACAUACGUUUCUUGACUGGGAUGGCGUAGGCUCAGAUUGGAGAUGGUGACUUUAACCCACAGUCUUCAGAGCCACCAGAGUCACCAAGCAUAGCUGCUCCUAAUGACAUUUCCCAUUAUAGAGCAGCUGGUUCUGUGCAACCAAAGGUAUUCCGCAAGAUACAGCAUGGAAAUAGGAAGAGGCCACUAAAUGACUUCUAUAGUACAAAGACUUCAAAUGGGAGACUAUGGUGGUCUGAUGGUGAUCCAACAGAACUCUGUGUGGAUCCAGUCUGGUGUUGUCAGUUUUGGUUAUGGCUGUGCUCGACCCAAUUAUCCUGGAGUCUACUCAAGGGUGUCUCAGUACCAGGCUUGGAUCCAGUCCCACAUCAACAGUGACCAACCAGGGUUUGUCCAGUUCUCCUCUGUUGGAGUUGGUGAUGAUGAUAGCGUCUCUUGUCCUUCCACCACUAUAUACAAAUAGUAACAUAGCACCCACAUCUGCACCUCAGAGAGGGCUGACAUGGAAGCUCCCAAAAGUAAGUUCCCCAUAACGAACACUUAACUAUACACUGUUCUAGCGUAAAAUGUGUCAUAUUAACUAAAAUACAUAAUAACCAACCAUAUCAUUUGUUGUUUUAUCAACAUCAAAUUAUCAAUGAUAUUAUGAGUAAUAUUCUAUGUAAUAGUGCUAAUACUACAUGGAGUAGCCUUACCCUAAUGCAGUUUCAGUAGAGUCUUUUACAAUGGUGACUGUCAUUUAUGAUGAAACACCAGAAAUAUCUAUUUUAUAGGCAAAUGUGUUAUUUAAAGAAAAACAUAAUUAUCACACACAAUUUCCAUUUUCAUAGUCUUUGAAGUUACAGCCCCAGCUUACUUAAAGAGAGGCUCUGCUGAUGUUUGUGGUAGGCCUCCCCUCAAUGACCGAAUAGUUGGAGGACAAGACAGCCUUC